AAAUUGAAGAGUUUGAUCAUGGCUCAGAUUGAACGCUGGCGGCAGGCCUAACACAUGCAAGUCGAACGGUAACAGGAAGCAGCUUGCUGCUUCGCUGACGAGUGGCGGACGGGUGAGUAAUGUCUGGGAAACUGCCUGAUGGAGGGGGAUAACUACUGGAAACGGUAGCUAAUACCGCAUAAUGUCGCAAGACCAAAGAGGGGGA
rnacentral:rRNA from 2 species